rnacentral:rRNA from 1 species
UACGUAGGGGCCAAGCGUUGUCCGGAUUUAUUGGGCGUAAAGAGCUCGUAGGCGGUUGGGUAAGUCGGGUGUGAAAACUCCAGGCUCAACUUGGAGAUGCCACCCGAUACUGCUCUGACUUGAGUUCGGUAGGGGAGUGGGGAAUUCCUGGUGUAGCGGUGAAAUGCGCAGAUAUCGGGAGGAACACCAGAGGCGAAGGCGGGUUACUGGGCUGAUACUGACGCUGAUGCGCGAAAGCCAGGGGAGCAAACGGG